rnacentral:misc_RNA from 1 species
AGUCACAAAGAAAUUUGCAAACUUUAGUUUGAAGAAAAGUACAUAGUAAUCAUGAAAAAUACAUUAGUAACAUAUUUGAAUCUAUAAAAAAGGCAUACUUUUGUGGCUACAAGAAAGUAUAUAUCUCAUUUCUAGCCAGAGCUUUAUGUAUUCUGAACCUUUACUCCAGUAAAGCAGGAUGAUUCUUCUACUUCAUAAUCUCUCACAUUUAAAACAGUAAACUAAAUUUUAAAAAAUCUCUCAAAGUAUUUUUAUGUCUCUUAAUUGUUCUUUUACAAAGAACUGCUCAUACAUGUCAUGCUCUGUAAUUUUUGUAUGGUUCCUCAAGACUUUUUUCAUUUUCUUCAACCCUACACCAUUAUCUCCUGUGUUGCUUUUGUAGUUUUGUGUGUAUUCCAUCACUGCAUGUUUGGGGAGAUAGCAUUGCAGUGCUAUCCAAGUCUGUUAUAUAGUGUUACCCACAGCAAGAAAAUAUCAGUAUUGUUGAUCUAUUUCCUGCAGUUUCUUGUUUGUUUAAAAUUAAAAUUUAUUUUGCUUUAUAAUUAUCACAAGACUUUUUAUUGGCUGAACUGCUUGUCCAACAAAAUGAACAAUCUAAUUAAAGGCUAGCACAUCUUUGUUUUUCAAUACAAAGUGAUGUUGGUGUGAGGAAUUCAUUCUCUUGUAAAGGUCUUGUAGACCAUUGCUGUAAUAAGCUCAUGUGUUUCACAUGUGGUGGUUGAAAUCCUUGCCAUGAUAAGGUUAUAGGCUUUACGAACAGAUUAAUAAAAAAUACCACCACAGAAUCAGACUGGCUCUUACAGAGAUGGACUGUUUACAAUGUCUUGAGCCACAUGUGCCUCUUUCAUAGCCAAUCAUAGGCAUCAGAAAGGAAAGAGAGCAUCUGACUUCCAAUACUAAAGAAGCAGUUGAUAGUGAUUGUACAGUCGAUACGAUUUAGACCUUAUCUGAUCUUUUCAUGGGUUAUGUCUGCUGUUCAGAGUUCAACGUGUUGUGACAAUAAGAAUACAAUAUGGAUAUUAGCAAGAGGGCUGCCCAAAACCGGGUCCGCUGGCGAGCUGUUGUUGCGGCCCUGUCCUGGAGGAGUAACAAGGACUAAAUUAUGGAUAUUAGCUGAAUGAGUGAGUCAAUAAGUUGUGUGCCAUGGCAUUGGACCAGUCUUGCUUGCAAAAGGUGAAUAUUUAAAUCAUGCAUUUAUUUUUUUAUUUUUCUUGAAGAGACCGAGAACCACCGAAGGCAUGUCGUAUGAACAGGCGCCUCAUGUUGAGAAACAAGAGUCCUUGACAUGUGAACACACUGACUGAGUGUCAUAAGGUGUCUCGCGCUGUCAUCAAGCAGUGCGUCACGAUGAACGUGCAGAAAGUCAGACGUGUGACGUAUCGCUCAGCCUACCCGGUAUACCCGCACUCACUGGGGGUGUGCAGGAGCAUGUGUGUGAGAGAUAUCAGACGGUCAACACCACGGAGUUAUAUAUAUACUAAUUAAUAAUGUAACUCCGUGGUCCACUCUACUCUCUGUCUUGGUGUAGUCGCGGUAACGCACUGCCCUCCACCCUCCCCGAGACCCCACCCACGUGUUGAAGAUCGCUGAGUAAUGUUGACUUGCACUCCACAGUCUUGUGCAACAGCCGACUCUUGCCCCUUCUCCUCCAUUUCAUUCCACAGUUGAACUCACAAAAACCUGACCUAAUUUUUCUCAGUUUGUUGGUUUAAAUGAUAGUACAACGUACCUAGCAGACACCGGCUGUCAUCUGCUAUCAACGUAGACACUCAGCCCACACCAUCGCCGGGAGUUGACAGUAUUCCCCAGCUUCAGCUGGCAGAAAUCUUGGAAUUGUGAGUGCGGGCAGAAAAAUCUGUAAUGGCGUUUGGUGGAAGGACAUUGGCUGUAGUCAUGGCAACUGUGCUUCUGGCUGUCAUCAUACAAGACUUCGGUCGGUUGAUGGUCAGGCUGGGUGUGUUUUCUCACUUCUACCAGCACCAUCCGGGCUCCUGCAAGCCAGUCCCUGGAAUGCCCCUGGCAUCUGAGGACUUCCACACCUUGUCAGAUGGACUGACAUUCAUCUCCUCGGGAGCGAUGCCACCUGUUGUGUCGGACAACUUCAGACUGUACUUUCGUCAACACAACAUCCGGGGCCGCAUCUUCCUGUACGACCUCAAGCUUCCGGACAAGGAGGUCAAAGAGCUCAAGGUCGUCACGAGUGACACUUUCGAUGAGAGCACCUUCUCUCCCCACGGCAUCAGCGUUUGGGAGGACAACACUUCAGGUCGCCACACAAUAUUUGUCGUCAACCACCCGCUUAGAGAGCUGGCACCCGAUACAGUGGAGAAGUUUGUCUUCCUGCCCGCGACACAGGAGCUGAAGCACCUGGCCACCUUCUCCGCACCGGAAAUGCGCUUGGUGAAUGACGUGCAAGCAACAGGUGACAACAGCUUCUACUUCACCAACUGCCACUACUACGCGACGUCAGCAGGCAUGAUGGCCGAGGUGCUGCUGGACCUGCCGUGGUCAACGGUGGUGCACUACGACGGCACGAGCUACACGGUGGUUGCCGAGGGCAUCAAGUCUGCCAACGGCAUUGCCAUGUCGACUGACCACAAGUACGUGUACGUGGCAGUCAGUGUAGGACAAGAACUCCGAGUUUUCCACAGGAAGACAGACAACUCACUGACUUUACAGCAGGCCAUUCCGCUCCACACGUUGCCAGACAACAUCAUGGUGGAUCCCAAGACUGAAGACCUUUACAUCGGGUGUCACCCUAUCCCACUCAAGAUUCUGAGCUACCUCGAGGCACCCAUCGACAAAAUCGCACCUUCGCAGGUGCUCCACCUGCGGAUGAGCAAGGGCAACAUGACGUCAUCACAGGAGCUGUUGUAUGACGACGGUCACAUGAUCUCCGCCUCGUCGUCUGCAAUCGUUUUUGGUGGCAAGCUGCUCGUCAGCUCCAUCAUCCACACCACCAUCAUUUGUGACGUCAACGUACCCGUGUAGAAAACUUCUGUUAUCUUCGCUUCCUACUCCUUUCUCUCACCCUCGGUCUGGUCGUCGUACUCCUCGAUCAGUUGCGAGAAUUUUCUCUCGGUGAGUCGUAGUCCCUGCUGCUGUGCUGCUGCUGAGUUUCUGUGUGUGUAAUGCAUUCACUGUCAGCUGCCAUGUAUUAUCAGUGUCAUGUCAGCUGUCAUUAUUACACACAGCUCCCUGUCCUGACUGUUCCUAACAACUCAUCAAUUCCUGUGUGGCCGAGCCCGGAGACACAAGGUUAUAGUGAAUUCUUUCGGCAGUUUACGUGCGGGUAGGUCUUGUGCAGCCUCCAUUAGCUCCUUGGCGACAGCUGGGGUUACGGGUGUAAUGCGGGUACGUGUUAGUUCAGGGAGAGGAACGGGGGCCGAAGGGCGGGGACUUCGGAAAAAAAUUAAAUAAACCCGACAAAAAUGUUGCAGAGGUAGUCAGGGGUGGCAAACGUAUUUUUCAGGGUCAACUUCAGUGGGUGAAUAUAGAACAGCUUCAGCAUGAGGUAGUGUGCAGCUGCCGUGACGUCAUCAGCUAGGGGUAGAUAUAUAUUCGGGGUAUAGAGUGGGUGUGCAGAUCAGCUUUACUGUGAGGUAUAUACAUCAGUGGCUGUGUGUAGAGCAACUUUACUAUGAGGUAUAUACAUCAGUGGGUAUGUACAUCAGUAUAGACAUUAGUAGAGCAAUAUGCUCACUGGGUGUGUGUACAGCCAGGCAGCCAGCCACCGUGACUUGACCUAUUUGACAAGUGCCAUGACAUGUCAGACUUCAUGUUGGUAGUCCGCUCUCUGUAGUAUGUGGUGUAUCUUUCUGACAGUCACUGAAUUUUACAAAUAAAAACACCAUUUAAAGUA